UGGGGAAUUUUCGUCAAUGGGCGCAAGCCUGAACGAGCAAUGCCGCGUGAACGAGGAAGGUCUUCGGAUCGUAAAGUUCUGUUGAAGGGGAAAAAGAGCGGAGAGAGGAAAUGCUUUCUGAUUGAUAUUACCCUUCGAGGAAGUCACGGCUAACUACGUGCC
rnacentral:rRNA from 1 species